CAGAAGGAUGCAUUUUUAAUUAAAUCCCUAGAAUUACCCAAUGCCAACCAAGGAAAAUAAAAAACGGCGACAAGACAUUAUGAGGAAAUUUCCACAUGUAGAUGUUGACAAAGACCUGCUCUAUUUUUAAAAUGAAGAUAUAUAUACUGACAUAUAGUGUACAUGUACCUUGAAGAUUUGUCCCCCUUGUAAAUACAAGAAAUGCAAAGUAUACACAGAUGUGUACAUACACAUAAAAGGAGACAUCAUCUCAUGAUCUGUGGAUCCAUUGAAAACUUUAAGGACAAAACUGUUGAUAAUUCAUUCAUGUAAAGAGUGUUGACUUGAAUAUUGAAUAUCUAAAUGGAACUAAGUUAGAGAAUUAAUUUAAUAAGUAUUAUAUUGUAUAUUACUCUUUUUAUUCAUCUGUCAAAUUUCUUAAUUAAAAAUUAAAUUUAAAGGCUUAAAUAAGGAUUUUUUUCAUUAUUUUAAUUAGAACAAGUUCUUUAAUUUAUUUUUCUCUUACAUAAUUGAUAAACAGGCAUUUAAGGUCAUGCGCAAUGUAGUUUGCACUUUAUUGGGUUCUUCCCUGGAGUUCAAUAGUUCCACUAAAGGAAGGACCUGUGUGCAAUAUUUUUAUUGUCUAUAUAUGGAUUUGUAAAUCUCCUCUAAAACAGUUUUGAUGAAAAAAAAAUCUGGAAUUUAUGUUUUGUAAUUUUUGUACAUUUUUCUUUGAAUAAUGCAAAAAAUUUCAAACUUUAAUAUCUUUUCAAAAUCCCUGGAAAUGCAUGCUGAUUUUUUGUCUAAAAAUAUGUAAUAUGGUACAUGUAUUAUAAGUUUAAAUAUAGAAUUUCUUGAAAAAUUAUCAGUAGGUAAGAUACCUUGCAUAUUUCCUUAAAUGUAAAAUGAAGGGAUGUGUACCUUUAUUAAAUGAA